GAUGAACGCUGGCGGCGUGCCUAAUACAUGCAAGUCGAGCGAACAGACGAGGAGCUUGCUUCUCUGACGUUAGCGGCGGACGGGUGAGUAACACGUGGAUAACCUACCUAUAAGACUGGGAUAACUUCGGGAAACCGGAGCUAAUACCGGAUAAUAUCUUGAACCGCAUGGUUCAAUAGUGAAAGACGGUUUUGCUGUCACUUAUAGAUGGAUCCGCGCUGCAUUAGCUAGUUGGUAAGGUAACGGCUUACCAAGGCAACGAUGCGUAGCCGACCUGAGAGGGUGAUCGGCCACACUGGAACUGAGACACGGUCCAGACUCCUACGGGAGGCAGCAGUAGGGAAUCUUCCGCAAUGGGCGAAAGCCUGACGGAGCAACGCCGCGUGAGUGAUGAAGGUCUUCGGAUCGUAAAACUCUGUUAUUAGGGAAGAACAAAUGUGUAAGUAACUGUGCACAUCUUGACGGUACCUAAUCAGAAAGCCACGGCUAACUACGUG
rnacentral:rRNA from 1 species